AGAACGAACGCUGGCGGCAGGCCUCAAACAUGCAAGUCUAGGGGGUGUAGCAAUACAUCACCGGCGGACGGGUGCGUAACACGUGGGAAUAUACCUUUUGGUUCGGAACAACGCAGGGAAACUUGCGCUAAUACCGAAUGUGCCCUUACGGGGAAAGAUUUAUCGCCAAAGGAUUAGCCCGCGUAGGAUUAGCUAGUUGGUGAGGUAAUGGCUCGCCAAGGCUCCGAUCCUUAGCUGUUCUGAGAGGAAGAUCAGCCACACUGGGACUGAGACACGGCCCAGACUCCUACGGGAGGCAGCAGUUGGGAAUCUUGGACAAUGGGGGAAACCCUGAUCCAGCCAUGCCGCGUGAGUGAUGAAGGCCUUCGGGUUGUAAAACUCUUUCGACGGGGACGAUAAUGACGGUACCCGUAGAAGAAGCUCCGGCUAACUUCGCGCCAGCAGCCGC
rnacentral:rRNA from 1 species